rnacentral:misc_RNA from 1 species
CCUUCCCUCUACGGCGAAUCAGGCCCGCAGCUCUCCGCAACGGCAUGUGACUUGGUUUCUUCUCUUGCCCUUGCCGUUGCCCCAACACUCUCCCUUCCCUUCGGCCUUCUGUAUCCGCUUCCUGGCAGAGCCCCUUCUCACCCUCCUCUCCCCCUUUGACGGACAGACAGCGACAACAGCGGCACGGCUAUUUGGCUGCAUUGAGCCGCACCACUGCGAAAGACGCGCGCGACUGAGCGCCGCUCCUCUCUGUCUUCGCCGCCUCUCCGUGUUGGCUCUCUCUCCCCCCUCCCCUCUCCCUCCCUGCCUUCACGCGCCUGCACAUUCACAUAUUUCUCCUCCACUGCUGAACGCGUUCCCGCUGCAUUGCCAAGUCGUUCUUCCCUCCUUUUUGCUAUUGCUGUCGAGAGAGUCAUGCAGGCCAAGUCCAUCCAGUCGAUUGCCGGCCGCCUGAUCCUGGUGACAGGGGCGGCCUCCGGGCUCGGGGCCGCCACGGCACGCUUUCUUGCGCAGAUGGGCGCCAAGGUGACGCUGCUGGACCGCAACGCGGCGCAGGGUGAGCAGGUGUCGAAGGAGAUCAAUGGCAAGUUUGUUGCCACAGAUGUCUGUAGCGAGACCGAGGUGCAGGCGGCCAUCAAGGCAGCGGAGGAGUUCGCCGGCCAGCCGCUCUUCGGCGUCGUCAACUGUGCCGGCAUCUGCCCAGCGGCGAAGGUCAUAGGCAAGAAGGGCGUUCACCCCCUCGACCUCUUCAGCAAGGCUGUGCAGGUGAACCUGAUUGGUACGUUCAACGUAUGCCGGCUGGCCGCCGAAGCAAUGCAGAGAAACGCCGCGCAGAUCGGCGCUGAUGAGGACCGGGGCGUUAUGGUGAACACCGCGAGUGUGGCGGCCUACGAGGGUCAGAUCGGCCAGGCUGCCUACGCAGCCAGCAAGGGCGGCAUCGUGAGUCUGACACUGCCGUUGGCCCGCGAGUUUGCUGGGCAGCGCAUUCGCGUCAACACCAUCUGCCCCGGCAUCAUGGAGACACCACUGCUGCCGCCCGACUUGGGUGCGGCACUAGGAGCGACUGUCCCGUACCCGCCCCGUCUUGGCAAGCCCGAGGAGUUUGCGCACCUGGUCUUCUUUCUAUUCUCGAACCGAUACAUGAACGGCGAGUGCAUUCGCCUUGACGGGGCAACCCGUAUGGCAGCCAAGUAGUGUAUGCACACAGGCACGUUGGUGCAUAACUGCAGAUGCGCAUGCAUGCAUGCCCCCCCACCACGUGGCUCUUCUUUGGCUCCUGUAUGCUUCCUGCGUUUCCUCACGCUGGCUUCGUUUUUCCAUGAGCGUGUGCGUGCCGGCGAUUCUCACACACCCAGCAUCCUUUUCCUCUUCAACGCGUGUCCGCUUUUGUCUGCCGCACACCACGUGAGGUGAAACGCCACGCGCUACCGCCACCGGGCCCUGUCACACGCCGCCCGUCGUGUGGUGCGAAGCGGCCGUCGACACGCGCCAGGGCGAUGCGCCGCCUCAGCCAUCGGAGCAUGCCCUCGGCCCCAACCUCUCCCCCCACCUACCCACUUCGCACGCCGCCGCGUGGCGCGUCCCCUCCGCCUUCGCGGUGGCUCAGGGUCCCCUCGCCCCCGUGGGCAGUGUGAGGGCCGGCUGAGCUGCGCUCGAGUCACGUGUUGGCACACUGCCUAGUCAUAUGGGUGGCGCACAAGCGUGCUCGCCGUCGCAGGCCGCUCCGACGCAGCGCCCGUCCAGGACCGGGCCGCCGGCAUCCGUGGCGGUGCAUCGCUCUGGCCUCCCCUACCUUGUAGGUGCUUGACCCUGUCACCACGCGAAGGGGCUUGGCAUUGGCAGGGUUAGGUUGGGAGCUGCUUGGCUUCCGCCCUCAGAGUGGGUGGGGGUGGGGGGCGGGGGCACCGUGCCCUGAGAUGCCAUGCGCUGUAUGAGCUGUACCCCGCUGUUCAGGGCUCGCAUAUCCCUUAGCGAAACAAAACCGUAGAAACAAGGAGGUGCCUGCCAUUCUAUGGACGCGACUGCGCGAUGAACUGGCG